UGUUAAACUAAGUGCCGAACAGAUACGAUGGCACCAAUGAGCCACCUCUAUGGCUAACCAUGCCCAGUACCUGCCCCCAGUACCUGACCUGCACGUCCUGCACUUCCUGUGUCUGCGAGUCCCGGUUCUCCUCGGUAACUGAUGGUGAGUCUCUGAAGAAAGGGGUCGUGUCUCACUUGACUUUGCUGCCUGUGUUGGGGACUGCA
rnacentral:lncRNA from 12 species